rnacentral:rRNA from 1 species
UUGGGAAACGUUUGCUGCCGGUGCGCCGGUCGAAGCGUUGCGCCGGACGCGCGCGCUUCGUUGGAUCGAAGGCAAUCCUACAGCCCUUGUGUGUUGUCUUCCACUCGUCUCUUUUCUUCAGAUCCCGUCGCGAUGCAAACUGCAUCUCCCGCUCACGACCAUAACCCAUCCCCUCCAUCCCGCGAGCGGAAGUUGUUGUGAGAGCAUCGGUCUCCGGCCACCGCCCUGCACCACCGGGCGUGAAACCGAGGCCGUCAUCUAUUUGUCCUACUCCAGCGAACUGGCGGCCACCCCCACACUUCCUCCUCGGCUUUUUCCCCUCUCCAGCCAUGGGACAAGAGCAGUGGCGGAGCUUGGCCCAGAAAAAUGGGCGGGCCGGCUGUAGAAAAGAACUAUUAGGAUAGUGUUUCAUGGCCCAAAAGUAAGUAUAGACUACAGAAAAAUCGCAUGGGCUGGGCGGGCCACGGCCCAUUCGCCUUGCUGUAGCUCCGCCACUGGACAAGAGAUGGGUGGCCCUCUAUGUUGCAACCAGGCGGCCGAGGUGUCGCCGUAGACGAAAGCCAACCAAUGUUUGCGGACCGUAGGGGACGCAUGCUGGGACCAGCCCCACAGAUGCUACAACCAAUUUAUUUUUUGCUCGAACCACCAUGAGAGAUGCUGGGAAGCUGCUACUGCGUGCAAUCGAGCUGCAACCAGCAGCUCAAAAAGCUACAUCCGGCGACUUUGUUUGCUGGAACCAGAGAAAGCGGCGGGGUUGUGUCAGGCGACGACGUACGACCGACGUACUGCGGAGCUGCAACCUGCAACAACAUUUGUUACAACCGUUGACCAUUUUUGCUGGAACCAAAGAAAGUGACGGGGUUGCGUCAGGCAACGGCGGAGCUGCUACAUGCGGCGAAAUGCUACGACCACCGUGAUGCGGAGCUGCAAUCGGCAACACCAUUUGUUACAAACAUAGUCCAUUUUUGCUGGAACCAGAGAAGAUCGAGGCUACUAAUGGUGCACGGCGAGCUUCAACCAGCGACAUGAGAUGCUACAACCAGCACAAUUUUUUGCUGGAACCACAUAUUGUGAUUUUUGCGAGUUACUUCGUCGUCUCCAUCGUUCCAUCCAUGCUGGGGCGGCACCGGUAGGGGCACAAUGUUCCAACCACUUACUUGUUUUGCUGGAACCAGCGAGGGACGAGGAAGCGUCGUACUAUUGCCGGCGAGCAGAGCUGCCGCGGCCAACGACGGCAACCCAUGACCACAAAGGGCGAGGGAGAAGUGUAGGGGAGGUGCUGCCGGCGUGCAGCAGAGCGGGUAAAAAAGGCGACCGGUGACGGCGGCGCGUGUCGACGGCGAGGCAAGCCGGCGGGGGCGGAGGCAACGGCUGUCUGGGAACGGGGUGGAGCUGCGUGGCGAGGUGAGGAAGACAACACAGAGGAGAGACACACGAGGGGGGAAGGGAUGAAGCAGCUUUUUGGAUAAGGAACUGAUGGCCUAGAUGAAUUGGAUCGGAUGGCUAGGGCGCGACCGGCCCAAAUUUGGGCCGGCGCACCGGCGCCUAGCGCUGGCCU